rnacentral:rRNA from 1 species
UGUUGGUGGGGUAACGGCUCACCAAGGCGACGAUCCCUAGCUGGUCUGAGAGGAUGACCAGCCACACUGGAACUGAGACACGGUCCAGACUCCUACGGGAGGCAGCAGUGGGGAAUAUUGCACAAUGGGCGCAAGCCUGAUGCAGCCAUGCCGCGUGUAUGAAGAAGGCCUUCGGGUUGUAAAGUACUUUCAGCGGGGAGGAAGGGAGUAAAGUUAAUACCUUUGCUCAUUGACGUUACCCGCAGAAGAAGCACCGGCUAACUCCGUGCCAGCAGCCGCGGUAAUACGGAGGGUGCAAGCGUUAAUCGGAAUUACUGGGCGUAAAGCGCACGCAGGCGGUUUGUUAAGUCAGAUGUGAAAUCCCCGGGCUCAACCUGGGAACUGCAUCUGAUACUGGCAAGCUUGAGUCUCGUAGAGGGGGGUAGAAUUCCAGGUGUAGCGGUGAAAUGCGUAGAGAUCUGGAGGAAUACCGGUGGCGAAGGCGGCCCCCUGGACGAAGACUGACGCUCAGGUGCGAAAGCGUGGGGAGCAAACAGGAUUAGAUACCCUGGUAGUCCACGCCGUAAACGAUGUCGACUUGGAGGUUGUGCCCUUGAGGCGUGGCUUCCGGAGCUAACGCGUUAAGUCGACCGCCUGGGGAGUACGGCCGCAAGGUUAAAACUCAAAUGAAUUGACGGGGGCCCGCACAAGCGGUGGAGCAUGUGGUUUAAUUCGAUGCAACGCGAAGAACCUUACCUGGUCUUGACAUCCACGGAAGUUUUCAGAGAUGAGAAUGUGCCUUCGGGAACCGUGAGACAGGUGCUGCAUGGCUGUCGUCAGCUCGUGUUGUGAAAUGUUGGGUUAAGUCCCGCAACGAGCGCAACCCUUAUCCUUUGUUGCCAGCGGUCCGGCCGGGAACUCAAAGGAGACUGCCAGUGAUAAACUGGAGGAAGGUGGGGAUGACGUCAA